rnacentral:misc_RNA from 1 species
GAUGAAGAACGUAGUGAAAUGCGAUAAGUAGUGUGAAUUGCAGAAUUCAGUGAAUCAUCGAAUCUUUGAACGCACCUUGCGCCCUUUGGACAUUCCGAAGGGCAUGCCUGUUUGAGUAUCAUGAACACCUCAACUCUCACGGCUUGUCCGUGAUGAGCUUGGACUUUGGGGGUCUUGCCGGCCUGUGGUCGGCUCCUCUCAAAUGGAUCAGCUUGCCAGUGUUUGGUGGCAUCACAGGUGUGAUAACUAUCUGCGCUUGUGGUUUUCCAUCAGAUAACCUUCAGUGAUAUGGAGGUUCGCUGGAGCUCACAAAUGUCUCUCCUUAGUGAGGACAGCUCUUUGAACGUUUGAUCUCAAAUCAGGUAGGACUACCCGCUGAACUUAAGCAUAUCAAUAAGCGGAGGA